rnacentral:ncRNA from 1 species
UCGGUCCGGGAUAGCCCCCGGAUAAUAGGGAAUACGGUGCGAUCCGCCAUCCGGAUCAAAUCCGUGACUGCCCCCGCAACUGUAAGCGGCGAGCGAGGCCGGAACAUGCCACUGCACCCCCCCCGCGGGGUAUGGGAAGGCCCGGCCAAGCGAUGACCCGCAAGUCAGGAGACCUGCCGAAGU